AGAUUGAACGCUGGCGGCAUGCCUUACACAUGCAAGUCGAACGGGCAGCACGGGAGCAAUCCUGGUGGCGAGUGGCGAACGGGUGAGUAAUAUAUCGGAACGUGCCCAGUCGUGGGGGAUAACGGUAGAGAAAUUUACGCUAAUACCGCAUACGAUCCAAGGAUGAAAGGCGGGGGACCGUAAGGCCUCGCGC
rnacentral:rRNA from 1 species